rnacentral:rRNA from 1 species
AGGCGCGAAAACUCCGCAAUAUGUGAAAGCAUGACGGGGUCAUCCCGAGUGCCAUCUGCUGAAGGUGGCUUUUGCCCAGUGUAAUGAUCUGUGUGAAUAAGGGGAGGGCAAGUCUGGUGUCAGCCGCCGCGGCUAAUACCAGCUCCUCGAGUGGUUGGGACGAUUAUUGGGUCUGAAGCGUCCGUAGCCGGCCGGAAAAGUUCUCCGUUAAACCCAGCGAUUCAAUCGUUGGACCGCGGGGAAUACUCUUCGGCUUGGGGGCGGGGGAAGUCGGCGGUAGUCCGGGGGUACGGGCGAAAUCCUAUCAUCCUCGGAGGACCACCAGUGGCGAAGGCGGCCGACCAAAACGCGCCCGACGGUGAGGGACGAAAGCUGGGGGAGCGAACGGGAUUAGAUACCCCGGGUAGUCCCAUCUGUAAACGAUGUGGGCUAGGUGUUGGGACGGGUACGGCCCGUCUCAGUGCCGCAGGGAAGCCGUUAAGCCCACCACUCUGGGAAGUACGGCCGCAAGGCUGAAACUUAAAGGAAUUGGCGGGGGAGCAC